rnacentral:piRNA from 1 species
UAGUUCUCACUCACUCUUUGG